CCAAGGAGUCUAACAUCUAUGCGAGUGUUUGGGUGUCAAGCCCGAGCGCGUAAUGAAAGUGAACGGAGGUGGGAACCCGCAAGGGUGCACCAUCGACCGAUCCUGAUGUCUUCGGAAGGAUUUGAGUAAGAGCAUGGCUGUUGGGACCCGAAAGAUGGUGAACUAUGCUUGAAUAGGGUGAAGCCAGAGGAAACUCUGGUGGAGGCUCGCAGCGGUUCUGACGUGCAAAUCGAUCGUCAAAUUUGGGUAUAGGGGCGAAAGACUAAUCGAACCGUCUAGUAGC
rnacentral:rRNA from 1 species